ensembl:snoRNA
GGCCUCAGGUUGCUUACCCCAGGCUGUCCUUACACUGACUGUAUAGAAAGAGGAAGCAGAGUAAACCUACCCCAUGUACACCUCAGCCCAGGCCUGUGCCUAGUCUGUAUUGUGAACGGGGAGACAAGG